rnacentral:rRNA from 1 species
CACUCCUGCGGGAGGCAGCAGUGGGGAAUUUUGGACAAUGGGCGAAAGCCUGAUCCAGCAAUGCCGCGUGAGUGAAGAAGGCCUUCGGGUUGUAAAGCUCUUUUGUCAGGGAAGAAACGGUGAAAGCUAAUAUCUUUUGCUAAUGACGGUACCUGAAGAAUAAGCACCGGCUAACUACGUGCCAGCAGCCGCGGUAAUACGUAGGGUGCAAGCGUUAAUCGGAAUUACUGGGCGUAAAGCGUGCGCAGGCGGUUUUGUAAGUCUGAUGUGAAAUCCCCGGGCUCAACCUGGGAAUUGCAUUGGAGACUGCAAGGCUAGAAUCUGGCAGAGGGGGGUAGAAUUCCACGUGUAGCAGUGAAAUGCGUAGAUAUGUGGAGGAACACCGAUGGCGAAGGCAGCCCCCUGGGUCAAGAUUGACGCUCAUGCACGAAAGCGUGGGGAGCAAACAGGAUUAGAUACCCUUGUAGUCCC